CCUACGGGAGGCAGCAGUGAGGAAUAUUGGUCAAUGGGCGCGAGCCUGAACCAGCCAAGUAGCGUGAAGGAUGACUGCCCUAUGGGUUGUAAACUUCUUUUAUAUUAGAAUAAAGUGCAGUAUGUAUACUGUUUUGUAUGUAUAAUAUGAAUAAGGAUCGGCUAACUCCGUGCCAGCAGCCGCGGUAAUACGGAGGAUCCGAGCGUUAUCCGGAUUUAUUGGGUUUAAAGGGAGCGUAGGUGGACUGGUAAGUCAGUUGUGAAAGUUUGCGGCUCAACCGUAAAAUUGCAGUUGAUACUGUCAGUCUUGAGUACAGUAGAGGUGGGCGGAAUUCGUGGUGUAGCGGUGAAAUGCUUAGAUAUCACGAAGAACUCCGAUUGCGAAGGCAGCUCACUGGACUGCAACUGACACUGAUGCUCGAAAGUGUGGGUAUCAAACAGGAUUAGAUACCCCGGUAGUC
rnacentral:rRNA from 1 species